AGGACAGGUGAGGAGCUGAGAUGGGGAACAAAUUUGAACAUCAGAUCCAUCAAACCAAAGGCAAAUUCCAAUUCAUCCAGUGCACAGUGGAGCUGGCCUGGGGCUGCAUUACAUAAGACCACAGCAGGCUGACUGCAGAAGCAGAUGUGAGAACACAGCUGUCUGCUGGUGAGCCAGAUGAUAAAGCCAUUUAGAUAAUGUAAAACAGUGCCACUCUUCUCACUAAAUUUUUUUUCAAAAUACAGUUUUUGUUU